GCUGACACAUCCCGGCCAAUCUCCAGCAGACCCUCCCUCCCAGACCCUCCCACCUCCUGGACAGCAUCCAUGUUGAAGGAACCUCCUGGACAGCAUCCAUGUUGAAGGAACAUGGAUGCUGUCCAGGAGUUGGGAGGGUCUGGGAGGGAGGGUCUGCUGGAGAUUGGCCGGGAUGUGUCAG